AGAGCGAACGCUGGCGGCAGGCCUAACACAUGCAAGUCGAGCGCCCGUAGCAAUACGGGAGCGGCAGACGGGAGAGUAACACGUGGGAACGCGCCUUUCGGUUCGGAAUAACUCAGGGAAACUUGAGCUAAUACCGGAUACGCCCUUACGGGGAAAGAUUUAUUGCCGAAGGAACGGCCCGCGUCCGAUUAGCUAGUUGGUGAGGUAAUGGCUCACCAAGGCGACGAUCGGUAGCUGGUCUGAGAGGAUGACCAGCCUCACUGGGACUGAGACACGGCCCAGACUCCUACGGGAGGCAGCAGUGGGGAAUAUUGGACAAUGGGCGCAAGCCUGAUCCAGCCAUGCCGCGUGGAUGAUGAAGGCCUUAGGGUUGUAAAGUCCUUUUAACGGGGAAGAUAAUGACGGUACCCGUAGAAUAAGCCCCGGCUAACUUCGCGCCAGCAGCCGC
rnacentral:rRNA from 1 species